GCCUAACGGCUGAACUGGCAACUUGGAGAAGUGGCAAGUCUUCCAGUAUGGGGAGCAAAACAGCUAUGGGUCAAGUCCGAUAUCUUUAGGAGAAGUCUUAUUGUGAGGGCGAGUUAUAUAACACCAUAGGACUGGCCGUCCCAUAUGAAAAGAUUAUAUUAGAAUUGAAUGAAGCUUUGUUUAUAUAUUGAUAAUGACAGUAUAUAUAUCGUGUCUUGACUAAUUGCGUGCCAGCAGUCGCGGUAAUACGUAAGAGACUAGUGUUAUUCAUCUUAAUUAGGUUUAAAGGGUACCCAGACGGUCAAUAUAGCUUAUAAAAUGUUAGUACUUGACUAGAGUUUUAUGUAAGAGGGCAGUACUUGAGGAGGAGAGAUGAAAUUUCGUGAUACCAAAGGGACUCUGUAAAGGCGAAGGCAGCCCUCUAUGUAAAAACUGACGUUGAAGGACGAAGGCACAGAGAACAAACAGGAUUAGAUACCCAAGUAGUCUUUGCAGUAAAUGAUGAAUGCCAUAGGUUAGAUUGAUCAAUUAUAGUCUAGGGUUAGUCUAGCAAACUAAUGCCCUAUGAUAUAAUUCAAAAUAUCUGGUCUAUAAAUGAAAGUGUAAGCAUUUCACCUCAAGAGUAAUGUGGCAACGCAGGAACUGAAAUCACUAGACCGUUUCUGACACCAG
rnacentral:rRNA from 1 species